rnacentral:tRNA from 1 species
GCGCCCUGCGGCGAGGUGAUGAUGCGCUCGGUCUUGUAGAGACCGGCUUCCUCGAUGGCGUCCAGUUCACGCCGGAUGUGCGCG